rnacentral:rRNA from 1 species
AGGCUGAGCUGUGAUGACGAGGGAAUUAUAGUACCGAAGUUCCUGAUUCCACACUGCCAAGAAAAGCCUCUAGCGAGGCGGGAGGUGCCCGUACCGCAAACCGACACAGGUAGGCGAGGAGAGAAUCCUAAGGUGAUCGAGAGAACUCUCGUUAAGGAACUCGGCAAAAUGACCCCGUAACUUCGGGAGAAGGGGUGCUCUGGUAGGGUGUAUAGCCCGAGAGAGCCGCAGUGAAUAGGCCCAGGCGACUGUUUAGCAAAAACACAGGUCUCUGCGAAGCCGCAAGGCGAGGUAUAGGGGCUGACGCCUGCCCGGUGCUGGAAGGUUAAGAGGAGGGGUUAUCCUUUGGGAGAAGCUCUGAAUCGAAGCCCCAGUAAACGGCGGCCGUAACUAUAACGGUCCUAAGGUAGCGAAAUUCCUUGUCGGGUAAGUUCCGACCCGCACGAAAGGCGUAACGAUCUGGGCACUGUCUCAACGAGAGACUCGGUGAAAUUAUAGUACCUGUGAAGAUGCAGGUUACCCGCGACAGGACGGAAAGACCCCGUGGAGCUUUACUGUAGCCUGAUAUUGAAUUUUGGUACAGCUUGUACAGGAUAGGUAGGAGCCUGAGAAGCCGGAGCGCUAGCUUCGGUGGAGGCGUCGGUGGGAUACUACCCUGGCUGUAUUGAAAUUCUAACCCGCGGCCCUGAUCGGGCCGGGAGACAGUGUCAGGUGGGCAGUUUGACUGGGGCGGUCGCCUCCUAAAAUGUAACGGAGGCGCCCAAAGGUUCCCUCAGAAUGGUUGGAAAUCAUUCGUAGAGUGUAAAGGCACAAGGGAGCUUGACUGCGAGACCUACAAGUCGAGCAGGGACGAAAGUCGGGCUUAGUGAUCCGGUGGUUCCGCAUGGAAGGGCCAUCGCUCAACGGAUAAAAGCUACCCCGGGGAUAACAGGCUUAUCUCCCCCAAGAGUCCACAUCGACGGGGAGGUUUGGCACCUCGAUGUCGGCUCAUCGCAUCCUGGGGCUGUAGUCGGUCCCAAGGGUUGGGCUGUUCGCCCAUUAAAGCGGUACGCGAGCUGGGUUCAGAACGUCGUGAGACAGUUCGGUCCCUAUCCGUCGUGGGCGUAGGAAAUUUGAGAGGAGCUGUCCUUAGUACGAGAGGACCGGGAUGGACACACCGCUGGUGUACCAGUUGUCUUGCCAAAGGCAUCGCUGGGUAGCUAUGUGUGGACGGGAUAAGUGCUGAAAGCAUCUAAGCAUGAAGCCCCCCUCAAGAUGAGAUUUCCCAUAGCGCAAGCUAGUAAGAUCCCUGAAAGAUGAUCAGGUUGAUAGGUCAGAGGUGGAAGCGUGGCGACAUGUGUAGCUGACUGAUACUAAUCGAUCGAGGACUUAACGAA